rnacentral:rRNA from 1 species
GUGAGGAAUAUUGGUCAAUGGACGAGAGUCUGAACCAGCCAAGUAGCGUGAAGGAUGACUGCCCUAUGGGUUGUAAACUUCUUUUAUAAGGGAAUAAAGUGAGGGACGUGUCCCUUUUUGUAUGUACCUUAUGAAUAAGGAUCGGCUAACUCCGUGCCAGCAGCCGCGGUAAUACGGAGGAUCCAAGCGUUAUCCGGAUUUAUUGGGUUUAAAGGGAGCGUAGGUUGACAUAUAAGUCAGCUGUGAAAGUUUACGGCUCAACCGUGAAAUUGCAGUUGAUACUGUAUGUCUUGAGUGUACAAGAGGUGGGCGGAAUUCGUGGUGUAGCGGUGAAAUGCUUAGAUAUCACGAAGAACUCCAAUUGCGAAGGCAGCUCACUGGGGUACAACUGACACUGAGGCUCGAAAGUGUGGGUAUCAAACAGGAUUAGAAACCCUGGUAGUCC